rnacentral:lncRNA from 1 species
AUCAACCAGACAGAAAUCAACAAAAAUAAAAAUAUUUUUAACAUCAUAUAAACAGAACACAGGCUUUAAAAUAUAUAUACAUAUAUAUAUAUAUUCCUUGCCAGAAAAAAUUAUAAAUACAAGGUCAGAUAAAAUAAAAAGAUCCUCAUCUGUGUCCAUAUUGAUAAUGAAAUACUUGGUGAUUAGCCAUAAGAGAAACAUUCUUACUGCAGGAUCAAAUUUGGCUUUCUGAUUUUCCCUUCCUAGCUAGAAAAUCAGCUAAAGACCUAAUGAAUAGAAAGAAUGCCGAUCUACAUGACGAGAAUAGGUGGAGGAGAAAGCCUAAUUAAAGGGAGACAACUCUUAUAUAUGUAUAUCAAGGUUAAGCUUGUAUCAAAAGUUUUCAUUAUAUUAAAAGCUUCUUAGUAACUAAUAUUUUAUUCAACUCUGUUUCACAAGAAUACUUUAAAAGAAUGAACCAAACUACUAAUUAAAAAAACAUGAUACUGAUGUAAUGAGUUUUCUCCCUUUAUUUUAUUGAAAGGGAGAUACAAUGUAGUAAUUGUCGACAUAAUAUCUUUUCUUGCAGUAUGAAAGUUUGCUUGACUAUUUGUUAUUUAUUCUGAAUGGACAAAAUGAGAAUCAAUCUACUUUGAAUGAAGCAUAUUUAACCUACACUGCACACAACAACUUUCUUCACAUUAACAAUCAAUUAAAUAUAACAUCUUGUAGAUGAAAAAGGCUUCAUUAUGUGUCUUGCUGCAGGUCAUUUAUACAAUAUCAAUUUGCAAAUAAUAUACAUGACAUUAUACACUGCUGGGAAUCAUACAGUUUAUAAAAACUCUCAACACUGGGAAAAAUACAGUUUUAUAUAAAGUUUCACUGAAAAAAAACACUGCGGGAAGCAUACAGUUUCUUUACUGCUUGGAAUAUCACUACGUAAUUUCAUAAGCCUUAUAUUAUAAAGCAGUCAAGUAAACAACCAGACAUAAAAUUACAGAAAUGAAGCUGUAUUUAGAAUCAUAUUUAUCUAUAGUUUUGCUGUGUUUACAUUCCCCACACAAUAUUAUAGCUAAUUGUAAAAAAUUUAACCUUUG